AGGGUUUGAUCAUGGCUCAGAACGUACGCUGGCGGCACGCCUAACACAUGCAAGUCGAACGGAGUAGCAAUACUUAGUGGCAGACGGGUGAGUAACAUGUAGGUAUCUACCCUUUGGCCUGGAAUAACACGAGGAAACUUGUGCUAAUACCGGAUAAGUCUUUACGGAGAAAGCUUUAUGCACCAUUGGAUGAGCCUGCACUUGAUUAGUUUGUUGGUGGGGUAAUGGCCUACCAAGACUGUGAUCAAUAGCUGAUUUGAGAGGAUGAUCAGCCACAUUGGGACUGAGACACGGCCCAAACUCCUACGGGAGGCAGCAGUGGGGAAUCUUGCACAAUGGAGGAAACUCUGAUGCAGCGAUGCCGCGUGAGUGAAGAAGGCCCUUGGGUUGUAAAGCUCUUUCGUCGGGGAAGAAAAUGACUGUACCCGAAUAAGAAGGUCCGGCUAACUUCGUGCCAGCAGCCGCGGUAAUACGAAGGGACCUAGCGUAGUUCGGAAUUACUGGGCUUAAAGAGUUCGUAGGUGGUUGAAAAAGUUGGUGGUGAAAUCCCAGAGCUUAACUCUGGAACUGCCAUCAAAACUUUUCAGCUAGAGUUUGAUAGAGGAAAGCAGAAUUUCUAGUGUAGAGGUGAAAUUCGUAGAUAUUAGAAAGAAUACCAAUUGCGAAGGCAGCUUUCUGGAUCAUUACUGACACUGAGGAACGAAAGCAUGGGUAGCGAAGAGGAUUAGAUACCCUCGUAGUCCAUGCCGUAAACGAUGUGUGUUAGACGUUGGAAAUUUAUUUUCAGUGUCGCAGCGAAAGCGAUAAACACACCGCCUGGGGAGUACGACCGCAAGGUUAAAACUCAAAUGAAUUGACGGGGACCCGCACAAGUAGUGGAGCAUGUGGUUUAAUUCGAAGAUACGCGCAGAACCUUACCAACACUUGACAUGUUCGUCGCGACUUUAAGAGAUUAAAGUUUUCGGUUCGGCCGGACGAAACACAGGUGCUGCAUGGCUGUCGUCAGCUCGUGUCGUGAGAUGUUGGGUUAAGUCCCGCAACGAGCGCAACCCUCACUUUUAGUUGCCAUCAUUUAGUUGGGCACUCUGAAAGAACUGCCAGUGAUAAGCUGGAGGAAGGUGGGGAUGACGUCAAGUCCUCAUGGCCCUUACGUGUUGGGCUACACACGUGCUACAAUGGUAUUUACAACAGGAUGCAAGACGGCGACGUUUAGCAAAUCCUUAAAAAAUACCUCAGUUCGGAUUGCACUCUGCAACUCGAGUGCAUGAAGCUGGAAUUACUAGUAAUCGUGGAUCAGCGUGCCACGGUGAAUGCGUUCCCGGGUCUUGUACACACCGCCCGUCACACCAUGGGAGUUGGUUCUACCUUAA
rnacentral:rRNA from 1 species